GCUUUACUGGGCGGGUUCGUGAACAAACAGCACGUUCUGGUUGCGGCAAGAAGCGUGGCUGGGUCCCCUCCUGUUGUUUCCUAGAAGGAGCUGCAGUCGCUGGCCAAGCAUCCCUGGGUGUGCACGCCGGCCAUCUAGUGGCUCGUGGAGCUGUGAGAGGUGUUCUGCAAGCUCAGGCAUUGGAGACUUACCUCUGCAAAGCGUUUUGCAGGGAUAGAGGUCGUGGGGAGAGGGCACCAGAGGAAGCAGGCAAGACAAUGGAGCAGACUUGAGAUUAAAACGUGGAGAGACGCUUUAUUUUUUCCCAGCAGGGGAUGGUGCCAAGGAGGAAUUCUCUCAUCUCCUGUGCAGCCUCUGGAGGAGCUGUGAGCUGCUGUGGAGAGCAAAGGAAGCUGGAAGCCAGAAUCCAGAGUCCUUCCAGGGUCCCUAUUUUUGCCCCAAGGAAUAGCUCACAGAUCAUUACAAAUGUGCCUUCCUGGCCAGCUCUGCCCGGGUCCCUGGGUUAGUGCUGUUCCUGUGUUUGGAUGUGGGAUUUAGGUCAGAUUCUGCUCCCAUGAGGUGCCUGUACCCCUCGUGAUGACUGGGACUUUGUGCCCAGAUGUUCUUUGCAUCACUUACCGCAUGGAACUCAUUGCUCCAGGACACCAGCAAGCACAACUGGUUAACAGAGCUCAAAAUGAGCCUGAGCGCUCACCUCUGUGGCAGCGCUGGUGACUGUGUUCAGCGGUAACAGCAAACGUGCCUUCCCCAAAGGGAGGUGAGUGAUGUGCCUGAUGGUUGUGGUGUGGUCGCUGCAAGCAGGCUGUCACCUGGGCUCCUGAAAUACAGGCUUCUUUUGAAG
rnacentral:lncRNA from 7 species